UACGGAGGGUGCGAGCGUUGUCCGGAAUCACUGGGCGUAAAGCGCGUGUAGGCGGUUCAGUAAGUCUGCUGUGAAAGUCCAGGGCUCAACCCUGGGAUGCCGGUGGAUACUGCUGGACUAGAGUGCGGAAGAGGCGAGUGGAAUUCCCGGUGUAGCGGUGAAAUGCGCAGAUAUCGGGAGGAACACCAGCGGCGAAGGCGGCGCUCUGGGCCGGAACUGACGCUGAGGAGCGAAAGCGUGGGGAGCAAACAGG
rnacentral:rRNA from 1 species